AGGGUCCGGUGGACAGCGCGAUUUAAAUAGAAACCGCGGUAUAGACGCUCCAUAUGAGGGUACUGUCGGGAAUAGAAACUAUGAUAGAAUCCGCGAUAUAGACGCUCCAUAAGAGGGUAUCGUCGGGAUUAAGUUUAU